rnacentral:rRNA from 1 species
GUGAGGAAUAUUGGACAAUGGGCGCAAGCCUGAUCCAGCCAUGCCGCGUGCAGGGAGACGCAUCUAUGGUGUGUAAACUGCUUUUGUACGGGAAGAAACACUCCCUCGUGAGGGAGCUUGACGGUACCGUAAGAAUAAGGAUCGGCUAACUCCGUGCCAGCAGCCGCGGUAAUACGGAGGAUCCAAGCGUUAUCCGGAAUCAUUGGGUUUAAAGGGUCCGUAGGCGGUUUAAUAAGUCAGUGGUGAAAGCCCAUCGCUCAACGAUGGAACGGCCAUUGAUACUGUUAGACUUGAAUUACAAGGAAGUAACUAGAAUAUGUAGUGUAGCGGUGAAAUGCUUAGAUAUUACAUGGAAUACCAAUUGCGAAGGCAGGUUACUACUUGUGGAUUGACGCUGAUGGACGAAAGCGUGGGGAGCGAACAGGAUUAGAUACCCUAGUAGUCC